GCAGUGGUGGCUCAGUGGUAGAAUUCUCCUCUUCCAUGUAGGAGACCGGGGUUUGAUUCCCAGCCAAUGCA
rfam:Loxodonta africana unplaced genomic scaffold scaffold_6, whole genome shotgun sequence.